ACUAAGCGUACACGGUGGAUGCCCUGGCAGUCAGAGGCGAUGAAGGACGUGCUAAUCUGCGAUAAGCGUCGGUAAGGUGAUAUGAACCGUUAUAACCGGCGAUUUCCGAAUGGGGAAACCCAGUGUGAUUCGUCACACUAUCAUUAACUGAAUCCAUAGGUUAAUGAGGCGAACCGGGGGAACUGAAACAUCUAAGUACCCCGAGGAAAAGAAAUCAACCGAGAUUCCCCCAGUAGCGGCGAGCGAACGGGGAGCAGCCCAGAGCCUGAAUCAGUGUGUGUGUUAGUGGAAGCGUCUGGAAAGGUGCGCGAUACAGGGUGACAGCCCCGUACACAAAAAUGCACAUGCUGUGAGCUCGAUGAGUAGGGCGGGACACGUGGUAUCCUGUCUGAAUAUGGGGGGACCAUCCUCCAAGGCUAAAUACUCCUGACUGACCGAUAGUGAACCAGUACCGUGAGGGAAAGGCGAAAAGAACCCCGGCGAGGGGAGUGAAAAAGAACCUGAAACCGUGUACGUACAAGCAGUGGGAGCACGCUUAGGCGUGUGACUGCGUACCUUUUGUAUAAUGGGUCAGCGACUUAUAUUCUGUAGCAAGGUUAACCGAAUAGGGGAGCCGAAGGGAAACCGAGUCUUAACUGGGCGUUAAGUUGCAGGGUAUAGACCCGAAACCCGGUGAUCUAGCCAUGGGCAGGUUGAAGGUUGGGUAACACUAACUGGAGGACCGAACCGACUAAUGUUGAAAAAUUAGCGGAUGACUUGUGGCUGGGGGUGAAAGGCCAAUCAAACCGGGAGAUAGCUGGUUCUCCCCGAAAGCUAUUUAGGUAGCGCCUCGUGAAUUCAUCUCCGGGGGUAGAGCACUGUUUCGGCAAGGGGGUCAUCCCGACUUACCAACCCGAUGCAAACUGCGAAUACCGGAGAAUGUUAUCACGGGAGACACACGGCGGGUGCUAACGUCCGUCGUGAAGAGGGAAACAACCCAGACCGCCAGCUAAGGUCCCAAAGUCAUGGUUAAGUGGGAAACGAUGUGGGAAGGCCCAGACAGCCAGGAUGUUGGCUUAGAAGCAGCCAUCAUUUAAAGAAAGCGUAAUAGCUCACUGGUCGAGUCGGCCUGCGCGGAAGAUGUAACGGGGCUAAACCAUGCACCGAAGCUGCGGCAGCGACGCUGAUGCGUUGUUGGGUAGGGGAGCGUUCUGUAAGCCUGUGAAGGUGUGCUGUGAGGCAUGCUGGAGGUAUCAGAAGUGCGAAUGCUGACAUAAGUAACGAUAAAGCGGGUGAAAAGCCCGCUCGCCGGAAGACCAAGGGUUCCUGUCCAACGUUAAUCGGGGCAGGGUGAGUCGACCCCUAAGGCGAGGCCGAAAGGCGUAGUCGAUGGGAAACAGGUUAAUAUUCCUGUACUUGGUGUUACUGCGAAGGGGGGACGGAGAAGGCUAUGUUGGCCGGGCGACGGUUGUCCCGGUUUAAGCGUGUAGGCUGGUUUUCCAGGCAAAUCCGGAAAACUAAGGCUGAGGCGUGAUGACGAGGCACUACGGUGCUGAAGCAACAAAUGCCCUGCUUCCAGGAAAAGCCUCUAAGCAUCAGGUAACAUCAAAUCGUACCCCAAACCGACACAGGUGGUCAGGUAGAGAAUACCAAGGCGCUUGAGAGAACUCGGGUGAAGGAACUAGGCAAAAUGGUGCCGUAACUUCGGGAGAAGGCACGCUGAUAUGUAGGUGAAGUCCCUCGCGGAUGGAGCUGAAAUCAGUCGAAGAUACCAGCUGGCUGCAACUGUUUAUUAAAAACACAGCACUGUGCAAACACGAAAGUGGACGUAUACGGUGUGACGCCUGCCCGGUGCCGGAAGGUUAAUUGAUGGGGUUAGCGCAAGCGAAGCUCUUGAUCGAAGCCCCGGUAAACGGCGGCCGUAACUAUAACGGUCCUAAGGUAGCGAAAUUCCUUGUCGGGUAAGUUCCGACCUGCACGAAUGGCGUAAUGAUGGCCAGGCUGUCUCCACCCGAGACUCAGUGAAAUUGAACUCGCUGUGAAGAUGCAGUGUACCCGCGGCAAGACGGAAAGACCCCGUGAACCUUUACUAUAGCUUGACACUGAACAUUGAGCCUUGAUGUGUAGGAUAGGUGGGAGGCUUUGAAGUGUGGACGCCAGUCUGCAUGGAGCCGACCUUGAAAUACCACCCUUUAAUGUUUGAUGUUCUAACGUUGACCCGUAAUCCGGGUUGCGGACAGUGUCUGGUGGGUAGUUUGACUGGGGCGGUCUCCUCCUAAAGAGUAACGGAGGAGCACGAAGGUUGGCUAAUCCUGGUCGGACAUCAGGAGGUUAGUGCAAUGGCAUAAGCCAGCUUGACUGCGAGCGUGACGGCGCGAGCAGGUGCGAAAGCAGGUCAUAGUGAUCCGGUGGUUCUGAAUGGAAGGGCCAUCGCUCAACGGAUAAAAGGUACUCCGGGGAUAACAGGCUGAUACCGCCCAAGAGUUCAUAUCGACGGCGGUGUUUGGCACCUCGAUGUCGGCUCAUCACAUCCUGGGGCUGAAGUAGGUCCCAAGGGUAUGGCUGUUCGCCAUUUAAAGUGGUACGCGAGCUGGGUUUAGAACGUCGUGAGACAGUUCGGUCCCUAUCUGCCGUGGGCGCUGGAGAACUGAGGGGGGCUGCUCCUAGUACGAGAGGACCGGAGUGGACGCAUCACUGGUGUUCGGGUUGUCAUGCCAAUGGCACUGCCCGGUAGCUAAAUGCGGAAGAGAUAAGUGCUGAAAGCAUCUAAGCACGAAACUUGCCCCGAGAUGAGUUCUCCCUGACUCCUUGAGAGUCCUGAAGGAACGUUGAAGACGACGACGUUGAUAGGCCGGGUGUGUAAGCGCAGCGAUGCGUUGAGCUAACCGGUACUAAUGAACCGUGAGGCUUAACC
rnacentral:rRNA from 1 species